CCGGUUUUAACAUGAACAGGUAAUGAUGCAGAAUGUAGAUCGAUCGAUUUCCAGAUCGAACCGGGGGACUUCGAGGGACAUGUUUCACGCAUUGAGUACUGGACUAAGUGUUGGAAAUGCUAUGGUUAGCAUUGGAAACUUUGUAUUUAACUCUACUUGCUCCAUCAUGUAGUUAAGUGUAUUUUGCUCGCAACUUUGCACCGUGUCGAUUUUCCUACUGAAUUUGUAAGCGUGCGAAUAUUGCAUAUGAACUCUCUAUUGUAUUGUAUUGUAUUUUUUUUUUCCUGUAAUGAAAGAACGUGCAUCCAACCAUUAUUAUAUUGAAAAUAUUUAUUUUGGGUGGUGCAA